rnacentral:ribozyme from 12 species
AAGAGAAAAAGGAGUAUUUGGAGCAAUGUGUUCAUAUUAGUUCUUGUUCUUUUGCUAUCUUUUUUCUUUUCGUAUUCUAUGACUAUGAAAUUAUAUAAUGAGCAGAGCAGCAGCUCU